rnacentral:rRNA from 1 species
AGCAGCCGCGGUAAUUCCAGCUCCAAUAGCGUAUAUUAAAGUUGUUGCAGUUAAAAAGCUCGUAGUUGAAUUUCGGGGUUAGUAGGUUGGUCAUGCCUCUGGUAUGUACUGGUCUCACUGAUUCCUCCUUCCUGAUGAACCUUAAUGCCAUUUAUUUGGUGUUUUGGGGAAUUUGGACUGUUACUUUGAAAAAAUUAGAGUGUUUAAAGCAAGCUAACGCUUGAAUACAUUAGCAUGGAAUAAUGAAAUAGGACGUUCGAUCCUAUUUUGUUGGUUUCUAGGAUUGACGUAAUGAUUAAUAGGGAUAGUUGGGGGCAUUAGUAUUCAAUUGUCAGAGGUGAAAUUCUUGGAUUUAUUGAAGACUAACUACUGCGAAAGCAUUUGCCAAGGAUGUUUUCAUUAAUCAAGAACGAAAGUUAGGGGAUCGAAGACGAUCGGAUACCGUCGUAGUCUUAACCAUAAACUAUGCCGACUAGGGAUCGGAUGAUGUUAAUUUUUAAUGACUCAUUCGGCGCCUUAC